GUUGAGAACGGCUCCACAUCCAAGGUAAGGCAGCAGGCACGCAAAUUACCCACUCCCGGCACGGGGAGGUAGUGACAAAAAAUAACGAUACGGGACUCAUAUGAGGCCCCGUAAUCGGAAUGAGUACACUUUAAAUCCUUUAACAAGGAUCCAUUGGAGGGCAAGUCUGGUGCCAGCAGCCGCGGUAAUUCCAGCUCCAAUAGCCGUAUAUUAAAGUUGUUGCGGUUAAAAAGCUCGUAGUUGGUUCUGCGUGCUACGCUGUCGGUUCGCCGCCUGCCGGUGUAACUGGCAUGCCGUGGCAUGUCCUGUCGGUGGUGUUCGGGUGCCUCGUCUAGGUAAUACCUCCGUUUCGCAAGAGACGGCUGGAUAUUCAACCGGAGGUUUCCCCGUUCGCCUACUCUAUCCUACCUAGGUGCUCUUCACCGAGUGUCGAGGUAGGCCGACACGUUUACUUUGAACAAAUUAGAGUGCUCAAAGCAGGCUGAAAUUUCUGCCUGAAUAGUGGUGCAUGGAAUAAUAAAACAGGACCUCGGUUCUAUUUUGUUGGUUCUUAGGAACACGAGGUAAUGAUCAAUACGGACAGGCGGGGGCAUUCGUAUUGCGACGUUAGACUUGGCAAAUGCUUUCGCGGUGAAAUUCUUGGAUCGUCGCAAGACGCACAAGAGCGAAAGCAUUUGCCAAGUAUGUCUUGAUUGAUCAAGAACGAAAGUUAGAGGUUCGAAGGCGAUCAGAUACCGCCCUAGUUCUAACCAUAAACGAUGCCAGCCAGCGAUCCGCCGAUGUUCCUCCGAUGACUCGGCGGGGAGCUUUUUCCCGGGAAACCAAAGCUUUUGGGUUCCGGGGGAAGUAUGGUUGCAAAGCUGAAACUUAAAGGAAUUGACGGAAGGGCACCACCAGGAGUGGAGCCUGCGGCUUAAUUUGACUCAACACGGGAAACCUCACCAGGCCAGGACAUUGGAAGGAUUGACAGAUUGAUAGCUCUUUCUUGAUUCAGUGGGUAGUGGUGCAUGGCCGUUCUUAGUUGGUGGAUCGAUUGUC
rnacentral:rRNA from 1 species